CGCCGAUCUGAACCUUUACCUUAACCACGACCAUCAAGGAGGCCGCCGCACCGGCGAGCCGUCGCUCCGUCUCUUCCGACGAUCCGAACCUUUACCUGAACCACGACCACCGCGGAGGCCGCUGCGCCGAUGAGCCGUCGCUUCGUCUCUUCCGCUGAUCCGAACCUUUACCUGAACCACGACCACCGAGGAGGCCUCCGCGCCGAGCAGCAACACCAACAGAUGGAGGACGACCACCAAGGAGGCUGCCACGCCGGCGAGCCGUCGCUCCAUCUCUUCCGCCGAUCCGAAUCUUUACCUGAACCACGACCAUCGAGGAGGCCGCCGCGCCGGCGAGCCGUCGCUCCGUCUCUUCCGCCGAUCCGAACCUUUACCUGAACCACGACCACCGCGAAGGCCGCCGCGCCGACGAGCCGCCGCUCCGCCUCCGCCGCUGGUCUGAACCUUGACUUGAAUCUCAACCUCCACGUCUCGUCUUAUUGACUCUGAUGUGAUCGAUCGACGGCCCCCAUGUAAAUAUAUAGCUGCAUCCUUUCAACUUCCACAAUUUAAUGGACUUAAUUUGGAGAAGAUGAAGUGGGAAAAGUUGUUGUGGAGAAAGUAGAGGGUUGCGAUCGGGAAGCAGAGGUGGC
rnacentral:lncRNA from 1 species